GUAGCUUGCUACUUUGCUGACGAGCGGCGGACGGGNGAGUAAUGCUUGGGAACAUGCCUUGAGGUGGGGGACAACAGNAGGAAACGACUGCUAAUACCGCAUAAUGUCUACGGACCAAAGGGGGCUUCGGCUCUCGCCUUUAGAUUGGCCCAAGUGGGAUUAGCUAGUUGGUGAGGUAAUGGCUCACCAAGGCAACGAUCCCUAGCUGGUUUGAGAGGAUGAUCAGCCACACUGGAACUGAGACACGGUCCAGACUCCUACGGGAGGCAGCAGUGGGGAAUAUUGCACAAUGGGCGAAAGCCUGAUGCAGCCAUGCCGCGUGUGUGAAGAAGGCCUUCGGGUUGUAAAGCACUUUCAGUCAGGAGGAAAGGGUGUGAGUUAAUACCUCACAUCUGUGACGUUACUGACAGAAGAAGCACCGGCUAACUCCGUGCCAGCAGCCGCGGUAAUACGGAGGGUGCGAGCGUUAAUCGGAAUUACUGGGCGUAAAGCGUACGCAGGCGGUUUGUUAAGCGAGAUGUGAAAGCCCCGGGCUCAACCUGGGAACUGCAUUUCGAACUGGCAAACUAGAGUGUGAUAGAGGGUGGUAGAAUUUCAGGUGUAGCGGUG
rnacentral:rRNA from 1 species